rnacentral:rRNA from 1 species
CGUGUAGGCGGAUUGGUAAGUUGGCUGUGAAAGCUCCUGGCUUAACUGGGAGAGGUCGGUCAAUACUGUCAGUCUAGAGUAUGUGAGAGGGAAGUGGAAUUCCGGGUGUAGUGGUGAAAUGCGUAGAUAUCCGGAGGAACACCAGAGGCGAAAGCGGCUUCCUGGCACAUAACUGACGCUCAGACGCGAAAGCUAGGGGAGCGAACG